UACGUAGGGCGCAAGCGUUGUCCGGAAUUAUUGGGCGUAAAGAGCUCGUAGGCGGCUUGUCACGUCGGGUGUGAAAGCCCGGGGCUUAACCCCGGGUCUGCAUUCGAUACGGGCAGGCUAGAGUGUGGUAGGGGAGAUCGGAAUUCCUGGUGUAGCGGUGAAAUGCGCAGAUAUCAGGAGGAACACCGGUGGCGAAGGCGGGUCUCUGGGCCGAUAUUGACGCUGAGGAGCGAAAGCGUGGGGAGCGAACAGG
rnacentral:rRNA from 1 species